ncrna:unclassified sequences c4-2 RNA
UUGCGCACGAACGGUGGGGUAACAGAAAUGUCCCCAACAUUAAUCUUAUGGAUUUGUUAGCAGCCGUGAACGUGCGCUAUU